UACGGAAGGGGCAAGCGUUGUUCGGAAUCAUUGGGCGUAAAGGGCGCGUAGGUGGCUCUGUGUGUCUACCGUGAAAGCGUACGGCUCAACCGUAUUUUGUCGGUAGAAACUGCAGGACUUGAGGCUGGGAGGGGCUAGUGGAAUUCCCUGUGUAGCGGUGAAAUGCGUAGAGAUGGGGGAGAACACUCGUGGCGAAGGCGGCCAGCUAGACCAGUUCUGACACUGAGGCGCGACAGCGUGGGGAGCAAACAGG
rnacentral:rRNA from 1 species